rnacentral:rRNA from 1 species
GACAGAGGGUGCAAACGUUGUUCGGAAUUACUGGGCGUAAAGCGAGUGUAGGCGGUCUGAAAAAGUCAGGUGUGAAAGCCCCGGGCUCAACUCGGGAAGUGCACUUGAAACUGCCAGGCUAGAGUGUCGGAGAGGUUGGUGGAAUUCUCGGUGUAGAGGUGAAAUUCGUAGAUAUGGGGAGGAACACCGGUGGCGAAGGCGGCCACCUGGACGGUAACUGACGCUGAGACGCGAAAGCGUGGGGAGCAAACAGG